UAUUGGUAAAUUUUUUAUGUGACCUCUUUAUUAAGUGUGCUAAAGGAACAAACACAACAUAUUUAGUAAUAAUUUUUUAUAACUUCAUAAGUUCUAAAAACUAUUUAAUUGAUGUAAGGAGAUGACAAACUUUAUAAAUUAUAAAGUGAUAAAACCAUUUGUGAGUUGUAAACAGGGAAAAUAUGGUUAAAAUUUUCAAGUUUAUUUAUUUUAUGAUUAUCUUUCAUUUUCUAUUUUUUGUUGCAACGAACGGUGUGGGUUAUAAAUGUAAAAUAAAUGAUGAUUGUCCAACAAAUAUAUGUUUGCUUGGCAGUAAGCCGUUUUGUAAGUACCGUCGUUGUAAAUGUUUAACAGUGUGGAGCCAGUAAGAUUUUAAGCCUAUGUGAUUAUGUAGA